GAUGAACGCUGGCGGCGUGCUUAACACAUGCAAGUCGAACGGGAAUUAUUUUAUUGAAACUUCGGUCGAUUUAAUUUAAUUCUAGUGGCGGACGGGUGAGUAACGCGUGGGUAACCUGCCUUAUACAGGGGGAUAACAGUCAGAAAUGGCUGCUAAUACCGCAUAAGCGCACAGAGCUGCAUGGCUCAGUGUGAAAAACUCCGGUGGUAUAAGAUGGACCCGCGUUGGAUUAGCUGUUUGGUGGGGUAACGGCCCACCAAGGCGACGAUCCAUAGCCGGCCUGAGAGGGUGAACGGCCACAUUGGGACUGAGACACGGCCCAGACUCCUACGGGAGGCAGCAGUGGGGAAUAUUGCACAAUGGGGGAAACCCUGAUGCAGCGACGCCGCGUGAAGGAAGAAGUAUCUCGGUAUGUAAACUUCUAUCAGCAGGGAAGAUAGUGACGGUACCUGACUAAGAAGCCCCGGCUAACUACGUG
rnacentral:rRNA from 1 species